AGUAGAAUAGCCAAGGUUUAAGGCAAGACUUGUAGCCAAAGGCAACUC
rnacentral:sRNA from 1 species